rnacentral:rRNA from 1 species
CCUACGGGUGGCAGCAGUCGAGAAUCUUUCACAAUGGGGGAAACCCUGAUGGUGCGACGCCGCGUGGGGGAAUGAAGGUCUUCGGAUUGUAAACCUCUGUUAUGUGGGAGCAAAUUAAAAAGAUAGUACCACAAGAGGAAGAGCCGGCUAACUCUGUGCCAAGAGCCGCGGUAAUACAGAGGUCUUAAGCGUUGUUCGGAAGCACUGGGCGUAAAGCGUGCGUAGGCUGUUUCGUAAGUCGUGUGUGAAAGGCGCGGGCUCAACCCGCGGACGGCACCUGAUACUGCGAGACUAGAGUAAUGGAGAGGGAAGCGGAAUUCGCGGUGUAGCAGUGAAAUGCGUAGAUAUCGAGAAGAACACUCGUGGCGAAGGCGGGUUCCUGGACAUUAACUGACGCUGAGGCACGAAGGCCAGGGGAGCGAAAGGGAUUAGAUACCCCUGUAGUC